AUGAGACGUUCAAGACAUUGUUCAGAAGAACAGCGUAGUUUGAUUAAAAAGUUGAUUGGAGAGGGGAAAACCUAUACGCAGGUGCAAAAAAUUAUAGGCUGUUCAUCUACAAUGAUCUCCAAUGCUUUAAAAUGGACA